AUGGGGAACGCUCCGAGUCACAGCAGUGAAGACGAAGCGGCAGCUGCCGGUGGCGAGGGCUGGGGCCCACACCAGGACUGGGCCGCGGUCUCGGGCACGACCCCCGGCCCGGGCGUCGCGGCUCCAGCGCUACCACCCGCCGCGGCGCUGCUGGAGCCGGCCAGGCUGCGAGAGGCUGCUGCAGCGUUGCUGCCCACACCCCCCUGCGAGUCGCUGGUGUCGAGGCAUCGCGGCGCGUUGUUUCGCUGGCUGGAAGAGCGGCUGGGCCGCGGCGAAGAGUCUGUCACUCUGGAGCAGUUCCGGGAGCUGCUGGAGGCUCGCGGCGCCGGCUGCUCUAGCGAGCAGUUCGAGGAGGCCUUUGCCCAGUUUGAUGCUGAGGGUGAUGGGACAGUUGAUGCCGAGAACAUGUUGGAGGCCCUCAAGAAUUCCAGUGGAGCUAAUCUUCAGGGGGAGCUGAGCCACAUCAUCAGACAACUACAGGCCUGCUCUCUGGUUCCAGGUUUCACAGACAUAUUUUCAGAGUCGAAGGAGGGCCUUGAUAUUCACUCGUCAAUGAUACUGCGCUUCCUGCACCGCAAUCGGCUCUCCAGCGCGGUGAUGCCCUACCCGAUGCUGGAGCACUGCAAUAACAUGUGCACCAUGCGGUCUUCCGUCCUGAAGGAGUCUCUGGAUCAGCUGGUACAAAAGGAAAAGGAAAGCCCUGGAGAUCUAACUAGAAGUCCAGAGAUGGAUAAACUCAAGUCAGUAGCAAAGUGCUAUGCUUAUAUAGAAACAUCCUCCAACUCGGCAGACAUUGACAAGAUGACAAAUGGAGAAACCUCAUCCUACUGGCAGUCAGAUGGCAGUGCCUGUUCACACUGGAUUCGUUUAAAAAUGAAGCCAGAUGUUGUGCUUAGGCACCUGUCCAUUGCAGUGGCUGCCACUGACCAGAGCUACAUGCCACAGCAGGUGACAGUAGCUGUAGGGAGGAAUGCCAGCGAUCUUCAGGAAGUCCGAGAUGUGCACAUCCCCAGCAAUGUCACUGGCUAUGUGACGCUGCUGGAAAAUGCCAACGUCAGUCAGCUCUAUGUCCAGAUUAACAUAAAGCGUUGUCUUAGCGAUGGCUGCGACACUAGAAUUCAUGGUCUCAGGGCUGUUGGCUUUCAAAGAGUUAAGAAGUCUGGGGUCUCAGUCUCAGAUGCUUCUGCAAUAUGGUAUUGGUCUCUGCUGACAUCUCUGGUGACGGCUUCUAUGGAGACAAAUCCCGCCUUUGUCCAGACAGUGCUGCACAAUACUCAGAAGGCGCUGCGGCACAUGCCUCCACUCUCUCUCUCACCAGGAUCUACAGAUUUCUCAACUUUCCUCUCCCCUAAUGUGCUGGAAGAAGUGGACAGUUUCCUCAUAAGGAUAACUAGCUGCUGUUCUACCCCAGAGGUAGAACUGACUCUUCUGGCUUUUGCUCUCGCAAGAGGAAGUGUUGCCAAAGUCAUGAGCUCUCUAUGCACCAUCAGUGACCAUCUGGACACGCAGUAUGAUGCCUCGUCCCUCAUCUUGUCCAUGGCGUCAGUCAGACAGAACCUGCUCCUCAAAUAUGGUAAACCUCUCCAGUUGACUCUUCAGGCAUGUGAUGUCAAAGGAAAAGAAGAUAAGUCUGGACCCGAAAACCUCCUUGUUGAACCGUGGACAAGGGAUGGUUUUCUUACGGAGACUGGAAAAACCAGAGCCAGCACUAUUUUUUCUACCGGAACUGAAUCUGCCUUCCAAGUUACACAGAUAAGAAUUAUGGUUCGACGUGGUGGCAUUGGUGCCCAGUGUGGGUUGGUGUUUGCCUAUAACUCAUCUUCAGAUAAAUUUUGUGCGGAAGAACACUUCAAAAGGUUUGAAAAAUAUGACAAAUGGAAGCUUCAGGAGCUCAGGCAAUUUGUAAAAAGCAGGAUUGGUUGCUCAUCUGAUGACCUUGGAGAGGAUGAUCCUAUUGGCUGGUUUGAACUGGAAGAAGAAUGGGAUGAAGCAGAUGUGAAGCUGCAACAGUGCAGAGUUGCCAAAUAUUUGAUGGUGAAGUUCCUCUGCACCCGUCAGGAGUCAGCAGAGCGCUUGGGAGUGCAAGGCUUGACCAUCAGUGGGUACCUCCGGCCUGCAAGAGCAGAAGCAGAACAGAGCGUCACCUGUGCGCACUGCAGAAAGGACACAGAGGAGAGUGUCUGUGGGGCCACGCUGCUCCUCAGGACCCUUCAGUUUAUCCAGCAGCUCGCCCAUGACCUGGUGCAGCAGAAGGAAAGUGGCUUAAAAUAUAAAUCUUUUCUGGACUUCGCGGGUCUUGAUUUGCAGAUCUUCUGGAAUUUUUACAGUAAAUUAAAGCAAAACCCGAGGGAAGAAUGCGUCUCUGCCCAAACCCUGCUUCUGCAGCUCCUCCAGAGCUGCUUCUCUGUGCUGCAGGGAGAUGUACUGGCUGCUUCUGAGGAGGAAAAGGCUCCAAUCCAAAGCCCUAAAGGAGUAGAGGCUGCCAAGGAGCUGUACACACACUUGUGUGAUGUGGUGGACAAGGUGGAUGGAGACUCUGUGCCCAUGGAGAUACUAAAACAAGAAGUCAGGAAUACCCUUCUCAAUGGGGCUGCCAUCUUCUUUCCUAAUCGACAGACCCGACGGAACCAUCUCUUCACCAUGAUGAAGAAUGUCACUGAGCAGGAGCACAAGCAGUCCCUGCAGCUCACUUUCCGUUCACUGUGCACGUAUUUUAGUGACAAGGAUCCAGGCGGCCUUCUUCUUUUACCUGAGAAGAACGACCUGGCCAAGAUGAACAUCAGUGAAGUCCUGGCGGUCAUGGACACUCUCGUCUCUGUUGCUGCUCGAGAGUGCGAGCUGUUAAUGCUCAGUGGGGCCCCAGGGGAGGUGGGCUCUGUGCUCUUCUCCCUGUUCUGGUCCGUCCAAGGCAGCCUGCUAUCCUGGUGCUACCUGCAGCUGAAGAGCACGGACUCUGGAGCCAAAGAUCUUGCCGUGGACCUUAUUGAAAAAUAUGUGGGGCAGUUUCUGGCAAGCAUGAGAGCGAUUUUGGAAUCCCUUUUCUCACAGUACAGUGGAAAAACCAUAGUAGAAAGAUUAUGUAACUCAGUGUUUUCAAUGGCAGCUCGUCAACUGGUUAUCUUCCUGCUGGACUUCUGCACUUUAGACAUCCCACACUGCGUGCUCUUGAGAGAGUUCAGCGUCCUCACAGAACUCCUGAAGAAGCUCUGUAGUGGCCCCGAAGGAGGACUGAGGAAGCUGGAUGUUGAGACCUGGCAACAGGAACAGCCUGUGGUGUUACAUACGUGGACGAAGGAAUCUGCCCACAACUAUGAAAAUAAUUGCCAUGAGGUAUCCGUCUUUGUUAGCCCAGGGGCAACCUAUUUUGAAGUGGAAUUCGAUGACAGGUGUGAAACUGAAAAAAGGUAUGAUUAUCUGGAAUUUACCGACGCUAGAGGUCGGAAAACACGCUAUGACACAAAAGUUGGCACUGAUAAAUGGCCCAAGAAAGUGACCUUCAAGGCCGGUCCUCGGUUGCAGUUCCUCUUUCACUCUGACAGCAGUCACAACGAAUGGGGCUACAAAUUCACUGUCACUGCCUGUGGGCUGCCCGAUGUUGCCGUGUCUUGGGGGCUGGAUUUACAGCUCCUCGUCUCCCGGCUGAUGGGACGCCUGGCUUCCCAGUGCAUGGCACUCAAGUCUGUGCGCCAGUUAGGAAGUAACAUGGUAGUACCUCAGGCAAAAAUGGCAUUAGUCCUAAGCUCCCCACUGUGGAAACCUGUCUUCAGGCAUCAGGUUUGUCCAGAGUUGGAAUUAGAAGCAAGCUGGCCCACUCACCCACACCGGAAUAGUAAGGAGGUUAAGAACAUUCCUGACGACCCCUGCCGCCAUUUUCUUCUUGAUUUUGCCCAGUCAGAGCCUGCUCAGAACUUCUGUGGGCCAUAUUCAGAACUUUUCAAAGGAUUCAUACAGGCAUGUAGAAAACAGGCCCCAAAGACAGAUAUAGUUGCUGGUUCCACUAUUGAUCAAGCUGUGAACGCCACCUUUGCUGCUCUGGUGUAUCGCACUCCAGAUUUAUAUGAGAAGCUGCAAAAAUAUGUCAACAGUGGAGGCAAAAUAGCCCUGAGUGAAGAGUUUGCCCAGGUUUAUUCCUUGGCAGAUGGGAUUCGAAUAUGGAUGUUAGAGAUGAAGCAGAAGUCCCUGAUGAGCCUGGGGAAUGAAGCAGAAGAAAAACAUAGUUCAGAAGCUACUGAGGUGAACCCUGAGAGCCUGGCAAAAGAGUGUAUUGAGAAGAGUCUUCUAUUACUAAAAUUUCUGCCCACGGGCAUAAGUUCAAAAGAAAGCUGCGAAAAGUUGGAGACUGCUGAUGAAACCAGUCAUCUCCAGCCACUCAACAAGCGUCAGAGGACGAGCUCUGUGGUGGAAGAGCAUUUCCAAGCCUCAGUAUCUCCCACUGAAGCCGCACCCCCUGCCACAGGAGACCGGAGUCCUGGCCUGGACACCCAGCCAAAGCUGCCAUCCAGCAGUGGCCUUCCUGCUGCAGACGUGUCCCCUGCCACAGCUGAAGAGCCCUUGUCACCUUCCACACCCACCCGCCGGCCUCCCUUCACCCGAGGGCGACUCCGGCUGCUCUCCUUUCGAUCCAUGGAGGAGGCCAGACUGGUGCCCACAGUGAAAGAGAAAUACCCUGUGCUGAAGGACGUCAUGGACUUCAUUAAGGAUCAGUCGCUCUCGCACAGGAGUGUUGUGAAGGUUCUUUCCCUGAGGAAAGCCCAGGCCCAGAGCAUCCUGGAAGUCCUGAAGAUAACUCAGUACUGUGCAGAAUCCCUUGGGCAGCCCCACUGCUUCCAUCCACCUUUCAUACUUUUCCUGUUGGAACUUCUGACCUGCCAGAAAGAUUUUACCAAUUAUUUUGGACACCUGGAAGGCUGUGGUGCUGAUCUACACAAAGAAAUUCGAGACACUUACUAUCAACUUGUUCUGUUUUUGGUCAAAGCAGUUAAAGGAUUUAGUAGCCUAAAUGACAGGUCCUUGCUCCCUGCCUUAUCCUGUGUUCAGACAGCCCUGCUUCAUCUUUUGGAUAUGGGCUGGGAACCCAGUGAUCUCGCCUUCUUUGUUGAUAUUCAGUUACCAGAUCUCCUCAUGAAAAUGUCACAGGAGAAUAUAAGUGUCCAUGACAGUGUGAUCAGCCAAUGGAGUGAAGAAGAUGAGCUUGCUGAUGCCAAGCAGAAUUCAGAAUGGAUGGAUGAGUGUCAGGAUGGCAUGUUUGAGGCCUGGUAUGAAAAAAUAGCCCAGGAAGAUCCAGAGAAGCAGAGGAAAAUGCACAUGUUUAUUGCUCGCUACUGUGACCUGUUAAAUGUGGACAUCUCUUGUGAUGGGUGUGAUGAGAUUGCCCCCUGGCAUCGAUACCGCUGUCUGCAGUGCAGUGACAUGGAUCUCUGCAAAACUUGCUUCCUAGGUGGGGUGAAGCCUGAGGGCCACGGAGACGACCAUGAAAUGGUCAACAUGGAGUUUACCUGUGACCACUGCCAGGGUUUGAUCAUAGGCCGGAGGAUGAACUGCAAUGUUUGCGAUGACUUUGAUCUUUGCUACGGAUGCUAUGCAGCGAAGAAAUACUCCUACGGCCAUUUGCCUACCCACAGCAUCACGGCCCACCCAAUGGUAACCAUUCGGAUCAGUGACCGGCAGAGGCUCAUCCAGCCAUAUAUCCAUAACUACUCCUGGCUGCUCUUUGCUGCCCUGGCUCUCUAUAGCGCCCACCUGGCCAGUGCAGAGGAUGUGGAUGGGGAGAAGCUGGACCCCCAGACCCGCAGCAGUGCCACCACCCUGCGGAGCCAGUGCAUGCAGCUCGUCGGGGACUGUCUGAUGAAGGCUCAUCAGGGAAAAGGCCUUAAAGCUCUAGCUUUGCUGGGUGUAUUGCCAGAUGGGGACUCAAGCCCAGAAGAUCAGGCCCUACCAGUCACUGUGCCCACCGGAGCGUCAGAGGAGCAGCUAGAGAAGAAAGCUGUCCAGGGUGCUGAGCUGUCAGAAGCAGGCAAUGGAAAGAGAGCUGUUCAUGAGGAAGUCAGACCUGUAGAUUUCAAGCAGAGAAAUAAGGCAGAUAAAGGUGUAUCAUUAUCGAAGGAUCCUUCAUGCCAGACCCAAAUUUCAGAUUCACCUGCAGAUGCUAGCCCACCUACAGGACUUCCAGAUGCUGAAGAUUCAGAAGUGUCAUCUCAGAAGCUCAUAGAGGAAAAAGCAGUUACUCCAAGCCCUGAGCAAGUGUUUGCUGAGUGUUCCCAGAAGAGGAUUUUGGGAUUACUAGCAGCCAUGUUACCUCCCUUAAAGUCGGGCCCCACAGUUCCCCUGAUAGACCUGGAGCACGUCCUUCCACUCAUGUUUCAGGUUGUCAUCUCAAACGCAGGCCACCUGAAUGAAACCUACCAUCUCACCCUGGGUCUUCUUGGCCAGUUAAUUAUCCGUCUUUUGCCAGCAGAGGUAGACGCCGCAGUGAUCAAAGUCCUCUCAGCCAAACACAACCUGUUUGCUGCAGGGGACAGUUCCAUUGUGCCAGAUGGCUGGAAAACCACCCACCUGCUCUUUAGCCUGGGAGCUGUGUGUCUGGACAGCCGUGUGGGCUUGGACUGGGCGUGCUCCAUGGCAGAGAUCCUGCGGUCACUCAACAGUGCCCCACUGUGGCGUGAUGUCAUUGCCACCUUCACAGACCACUGCAUCAAGCAGCUGCCAUUCCAGCUGAAGCACACCAACAUCUUCACCCUGCUCGUGCUGGUUGGCUUCCCCCAGGUCCUCUGUGUGGGAACCCGCUGCGUUUAUAUGGAUAAUGCCAAUGAACCCCAUAAUGUGAUCAUCUUGAAGCACUUUACUGAGAAGAACAGGGCUGUGAUUGUUGAUGUCAAAACCCGGAAGAGGAAAACAGUGAAGGACUACCAGCUGGUCCAGAAGGGAGGAGGACAAGAGUGUGGUGACUCUCGGGCCCAGCUGAGCCAGUACUCCCGGCACUUUGCCUUUAUCGCCAGUCACCUUCUGCAAAGCAGCAUGGACAGCCAUUGUCCCGAGGCAGUGGAAGCAACUUGGGUCCUGUCCCUGGCCCUCAAAGGAUUGUAUAAAACACUAAAGGCUCACGGUUUUGAAGAGACCCAUGCUACUUUCCUUCAGACCGAUUUGCUGAAGUUGCUGGUGAAAAAGUGCAGCAAAGGGACUGGCUUUAGUAAAACGUGGCUCCUCCGGGACCUGGAAAUUUUGUCCAUCAUGCUGUACUCCUCAAAAAAGGAGAUCAAUGCUUUGGCUGAGCACGGAGACCUAGAGCUGGAUGAGCGAGGGGACCGAGAGGAAGAGGUGGAACGGCCAGUCAGCAGCCCUGGCGACCCAGAGCAGAAAAAGCUGGACCCCCUUGAGGGCCUGGAUGAGCCCACCAGAAUAUGUUUCUUGAUGGCUCAUGAUGCCCUCAAUGCCCCUCUGCACAUUCUCCGGGCCAUAUACGAACUGCAGAUGAAAAAGACCGAUUAUUUCUUCCUGGAGGUUCAGAAGAGGUUUGAUGGUGAUGAGCUCACCACAGAUGAAAGGAUACGGUCCCUGGCUCAGCGGUGGCAGCCCAGUAAGAGUCUGAGGCUGGAAGAGCAGAGCGCCAAAGCUGUGGAUACAGACAUGAUUAUCCUGCCAUGCUUGUCCCGGCCUGCACGCUGCGACCAAGCCACUGCUGAAUCGAACCCUGUGACCCAGAAGCUGAUCUCCAGCACAGAGAGCGAACUGCAGCAGAGCUAUGCCAAGCAGCGCCGUAGCAAGAGCGCCGCCCUCCUGCACAAGGAGCUGAACUGCAAGAGUAAGAGGGCUGUCCGGGACUACCUCUUCCGAGUGAACGAGGCCACAGCUGUCCUGUACGCCCGCCACGUGCUUGCAUCCCUGCUCGCCGAGUGGCCUAGCCACGUGCCAGUGAGCGAGGACAUCCUGGAGCUCAGUGGCCCUGCCCAUAUGACCUACAUUUUGGAUAUGUUCAUGCAGCUGGAAGAAAAGCAUGAGUGGGAGAAGAUCCUGCAGAAAGUGCUCCAGGGCUGCCGAGAGGACAUGCUGGGGUCCAUGGCCCUGGCUGCGUGCCAGUUCAUGGAGGAGCCAGGAAUGGAGGUGCAAGUGAGGGAGUCGAAACACCCGUAUAACAACAACACCAACUUCGAGGAUAAAGUUCACAUUCCUGGUGCCAUCUACCUCUCAAUCAAAUUCGACUCUCAGUGCAACACAGAGGAGGGCUGUGACGAGUUAGCCAUGUCCAGCAGCAGUGACUUCCAGCAAGACCGACACAGCUUCAGCGGGUCUCAGCAGAAGUGGAAAGAUUUUGAACUUCCAGGAGACACUCUGUAUUACCGCUUCACCUCCGACAUGAGCAACACCGAGUGGGGCUACAGAUUCACCGUGACGGCCGGACACCUGGGGCGGUUCCAGACAGGUGUGUGCUCUGGGCUUUGCGUUCACACCAUCUGCCUGCCAGGGACACUCCAUGGCUGUGGGUGCCAUGAUGUCACUGAUCUUGGUUAAAAUCAAAGCAGGAUUCGAGAUUUUGAAGCAGAUGUUGUCAGAAGAAAGGGUCGUGCCUCAUCUCCCAUUGGCAAAAAUUUGGGAAUGGCUGGUGGGCGUGGCCUGUCGCCAGACUGGCCAUCAACGAUUAAAAGCCAUCCACUUACUUCUGAGGAUUGUGCGAUGCUGCGGCCACAGUGACCUGUGUGACCUUGCGCUGUUGAAGCCCCUGUGGCAGCUCUUUACCCACAUGGAGUACGGCCUGUUUGAGGACGUGACGCAGCCCGGCAUCCUCCUUCCCCUGCAUCGUGCCCUCACUGAGCUCUUCUUCGUCACCGAGAACCGUGCCCAGGAGCUUGGUGUGCUGCAGGAUUACCUGCUGGCCCUAACCACGGACGACCACCUUCUCCGCUGUGCGGCACAGGCUCUGCAGAACAUUGCUGCCAUCAGCCUGGCCAUCAACUACCCAAACAAGGCCACCCGCCUCUGGAAUGUGGAGUGUUAGCCCUUGGUGGGGCGUGCACGGGACUAGUUCAUCUGCCACAGGGAUUUUAGAGCAGACAUCUAACCUCAUUCAGGAAAAUUCCUGUAGCGCCAGUGCCCAGCUCUCCUUGAGCUGACUUCACUCCAGUUAGGAUGCCAAGCAGCCACGUCUCCAAGAGCUCCCGUGCGUAGGCUGGACACAAGCACAGGCUGUAGCAUGGUGAAAAUAAGCCAAGCAGUGCAGAAUGCCUCAGAAAGGGUGGGCAGGGGGCCCUUGAGAAGGUUCAGAGACCAGCCUUCUCCAGAGGCUGUCACUGCAGGAGCCGUGGGCCUGAGAAGACUUGGAAGCGGCCUCUCUCAACUGGUUUCUGUCUCCGUGGAGCUGGAACUGCCUGCACUUGCCUUCAGAGGGAGGCACAGUUCACCCAGAUCCACCUUUCCAGCAAGACCCCCAGUGGCUGCCCAGCCUGGGAGCACCUCUUUGCUUUUCACACCAAACCAAAACUGGCGAGAGCCCCUCCUAGCCACCAGUGAUCCCCAAGCAUCCAGUACAGAACCAGGCAUCGAGCUAGCUCCCUGCACGGCCGCGCCCUCCCAGAGAACUCCUUGAGGAGAACAAGUGCCCUUGGGGACAGCCGGCAGGCGCCCCUGUACGUCUGCUCAUGCACCAGGCAGCACAGCCGCAGUUCCUCAGUUGUUGUUUUGACAUAUUUCAGUUUCCACCUCACGUUUUUAGAGCAGAACCACACUGUCUCCCUGGAGGGGCUCGAGGGCAUGACCGGGGACUGACCAUUCUGUGAAAGUAGCAGAAUGUGAGGAGCAGGCGUGAGCUUCUGUACCGUGAAGAUGAUCAGAGGAUAUCUUAUUUUAAGAGUAAAAACCCACAGAAUUUUAUUUCUGCUUGAUAGUCAUGGUAGUCUGCCAUACCCACCUCUGGGACUCUGCGUGGCUGUUUGGCUGUCACUUGUAGCAAUAACGACAUUAGUUCUAGUCAGUGCUGUUUUACAUUUUUCUUUUGAUGGGUUUAGUCUUGCCCUGGAGUGCCGAUGAUGAUUCUCCCUCCAGAGCCACGCUUGGGAACAUGAAGCAAGUCUGGCGUGUGGGCUGCGUGCCGGCCUUAGUGGGACCCGUGGGGUUGGAGCAUGCCUUUAGGGGCAGUGUCUGGGCCGAAGCACAUCCCACCAUACAGUGCCAGAGCCAGAGAAGGGGCCCCACCACCAAGGCCAAGCUUGACCAGGUCGGCAUUGCCACGGCCCAGUGUGCCCCGUGGCCUCUGAAGACCCCUCUGUGCAGGGUCUGCAGGGAUCUGGAUUGCAAGGGCCCGAGUCUGCAGGUCUGGAAGCAUCUUCCUAUAAGAGCACUUUCGCCUUCUGGGUCAGGACUCCAAGGUGCAGCGGGCUUCACAGCCCUACAAUUAGGUUCUCAGCUAAGCCCCAGAGUUCUGGUAGAAUCAUCCCGGGGCGGGUGGAGGGUGGGAUUUAAGGGAGACGGGAACACAUGGGGCAGGUCCUGGAACUUGGUGGCCUGAGGACUGAGGCCAUUGCCCUGGUGGAAAGGCCUGGCCUGGUUCCUGUGGCUUGGGACCUGAAUAGGCAGGUGCUGCUGGCUCCGUAGAAAUCCUUUUCCCAUCUUUUGCUCUUUGCCAAACCUACCUUGCUUUGGGAGCUGCCUGCACCGCCCCAGAGAAGGCCCCACCUUCUUCAUCCCUCAGACCCGAGGAGGUCUCCCAGUAAGGAGUUUCCCAAGAGGGGACUCACAGGAAACAAGUCUUAGUGCUUGAGAGGGAGGCCCCGCUGCGUGCUCAGACUCACAGCCAACCUGGAAGGUAGACGAGAUAGCGCCACCCAUGCCCCUCCACACCCCAGACUCCGAGUAAAGCGGGCGGUAGGGCCGGAGUCACCUCCCCUAUGGCAGUGGCCGCCGCUGUACUCCAUCCUCCCGUCAGGAAGAUCAGCUGUAAAUAAACGCUGGGCUCCCCAGAGCACCUGUCCGCCCACUGCCCUUGCUGUUCUGGGAUCUUCGCUGCAGUUCACGAGAGACAAGCCUGAGGCCGCCCGCACCCGCGGCUGCUGUCCCGGCUCGGCCCGGCCGCCUCUGUCUCCGGCCACCGGGUGGCGCUGCCGAGCCAGAGCCGCCGCGUCCCGGCGCUUUCCAGGAGCCCCAGGCCCGGAGUAGGCGAAGCCCGCAGAGCAAAGGUGGAAACACGUGCCUACGCUGUAAAGAAAUCCUGUUCCAGAGCAUACCUGUUGUACAAACAGACACUGUUCCUAACGAGAGGAGUGACGUAUUUUCAUCACCGUUUUUAAUUUGUUUUCUUACGGGUUUACGAUUUCGAAUUUUUCUUAUUUGGUUGAAAGAAUUUUGAUUCUAUCAGCCUGAGUGAGUUCAGCCUGUAAAAAGGAUGUUAAGCUGUGGGUAAAAUAUGCAAACGAAAAGAAAUAUAUUGUACAAAUUCUAUAUAAUAAGGUA